GACCCAAAGACAACCUCUUCUCUCCCGCUUCCCUCGCUGUGAAGAUGGCGCUCUCCAGGGUCUUCAAAGCUUCACCUUUCUCCAAAGGCAGAUGUGAAGAACUUGAUGUCUUAUGUGGUAACCAAGACAAAAGCGAUUAAUGGGAAAUACCAUCGUUUCUUGGGUCGUCAUUUCCCCCGCUUCUAUGUUCUGUACACAAUCUUCAUGAAAGGAUUGCAGAUGUUAUGGGCUGAUGCCAAAAAGGCUAGAAGAAUAAAGACAAAUAUGUGGAAGCACAAUAUAAAGUUUCAUCAACUUCCAUACCGGGAGAUGGAGCAUUUGAGACAGGUACCUGUUUCCCAGGCAACUACUGAUCAGGCAUUUCUGGACCCCAAAACAACAAACUGAUUUCUUAGAUAUCUAUCAUGCUUUCCGGAAGCAGUCCCACCCAGAAAUUAUUAGUUAUUUAGAAAAGGUCAUCCCUUUCAUUUCUGAUGCAGGACUCCGGUGGCGUCUGACAGAUCUGUGCACCAAGAUACAGCGUGGUACCCACCCAGCAAUACAUGAUAUCUUGGCUCUGAGAGAGUGUUUCUCUAACCAUCCUCUGGGCAUGAACCAACUCCAGGCUU
rnacentral:sRNA from 1 species